rnacentral:rRNA from 1 species
AUUGAACGCUGGCGGCAGGCCUAACACAUGCAAGUCGAGCGGAUGAAGGGAGCUUGCUCCUGGAUUCAGCGGCGGACGGGUGAGUAAUGCCUAGGAAUCUGCCUGGUAGUGGGGGAUAACGUCCGGAAACGGGCGCUAACACCGCAUACGUCCUGAGGGAGAAAGUGGGGGAUCUUCGGACCUCACGCUAUCAGAUGAGCCUAGGUCGGAUUAGCUAGUUGGUGGGGUAAAGGCCUACCAAGGCGACGAUCCGUAACUGGUCUGAGAGGAUGAUCAGUCACACUGGAACUGAGACACGGUCCAGACUCCUACGGGAGGCAGCAGUGGGGAAUAUUGGACAAUGGGCGAAAGCCUGAUCCAGCCAUGCCGCGUGUGUGAAGAAGGUCUUCGGAUUGUAAAGCACUUUAAGUUGGGAGGAAGGGCAGUAAGUGAAUACCUUGCUGUUUUGACGGUACCAACAGAAUAAGCACCGGCUAACUUCGUG